CCCUUAGAUGUUCUGGGCUGCACGCGCGCUACACUGAUGCAUUCAACGAGUUCUACCUUGGCCGAGAGGCCUGGGCAAUCUUUUGAACCUGCAUCGUGAUAGGGAUAGAUUAUUGCAAUUAUUAAUCUUGAACGAGGAAUUCCUAGUAAACGCAGAUCAUCAAUCUGCAUUGAUUACGUCCCUGCCCUUUGUACACACCGCCCGUCGCACCUACCGAUUGAAUGGUCCGGUGAAGCCUCGGGAUUGUGGCGAGUUCCCUUUAUUGGGAGUUUGUCGCGAGAACUUGUCUAAACCUUAUCAUUUAGAGGAAGGUGAAGUCGUAACA
rnacentral:rRNA from 1 species